rnacentral:lncRNA from 1 species
GGAAUGGGACUGCUCCCGUCCUUGAUCUGGAUACUCUUCUUCUAAUGAAGCCUAAGAUUGUAUUUUCUUUUUAGCAGCUGAGUCACUGCCUUGGCUCAUAUUCAGUUCUCAUAUUAAUUUACAAGAAGUUCUUUGAGUAGAUUCAGAGAGAUUUCCUAUUAGUAGAGCUAACAAAUGAAUGUCUGUUUUUUUCUGAUUGAGUCUAGGCUGUUUUCUCAGAAGUACUCGUCAUUCUUAAGCUUUCUGAAGUCUGAGAAAAAAAAGAAAAAGAAUUAAUUUACAACACCGGAAUUACAUGAAAGUCCAAUUCAAAACUAAAUAAAAUUUAAUGAAUCCCCCUAUACCCAUCACAAAAUCAACCAUUAUUAAGCUAUUUGCCAUAUGUGACUAAACUGUCUUAUUUCUUUUUUCUCUUCUGCCUAAGUAUUUUAAAGAAGAUCGUAGGCAUUGUUUUUUUAUUUUUUAUGGCUGCACGCGUGGUGUAUGGAAGUUCCCUGGGCCAGGGAUUUAAUCUGAGCCACAGCUGCAGCAACACAAGACCCUUUAACCAACUGCACUGGGUUGGGUAUUGAACUCGAACCUCUGCGGUGACCCAGACCGCUGCUGUCAGACUCUUAACCCAUCGUGCCACAGUGGAAACUCCAUAGACAUUGUCUUUUUACCUCUGCAAAUGUCAGUAUGCAUCUCUACAAAGGCAUUUUCUUACAUAACUAAAUGCCAUUAUUGUAUCUAUCAAAAUUAAUAGUAUUUCCUAUUGGUGUUAUCUGAUAUCCAGUUUAUAAUAAAAAUGUCUGUGAUUAUUUAAAAGUGUCUUUUUACAGUUGGUUUUUAACUGAAUCAAGAUCCAGACAAAGUCUACACAUUGCAUUUAGAUGUGCUUAGUGUCUCUUCUAACCUAACACAGUCCCCCUUACUUUUCUGGCAUGUUUCAUUCUGUCUCCUCCUUUCCUACCAAGUUCUGUUACUGUGCCUUUUGAAGUAGGUCUAAUAGUUUUCUUCUUUCACAGUAAUUUCGCGAACAUUUUGAAUUAUUAUGACAAAACAUGUACUAGACGUUAUGAUAGGUAGAAAGGCUGAGGCCCACAAUCCUACCUAUCUGUGGCAGAGACAGGUGUUUACAGAAGCAAACCAAAACAGAUUUAUUUGCCUUCCAGGGGGCCCUGCCUUAAUUGUAUAGCUUUCCAUUUAUUUUCCUAAAAUACGCCGCUCGUGGAAUCUUCUUUAGUUGUGUCCUUAUCAGGAGCCCACAGUUGACUCCUGCUUGAAUCAGUUCAGACGACGCUGUUCUGGGGGGUACGCUCCAUUAGCUCCUGCUUGUGCCUGAAGUGGAACUCCCGGAAGCACAAGCAUUCCAUUUUUUUUUAGACCAAAUUUAUAUUAUCCUGUAGAAUUUUCAUUUCUCAAACAAGGUUGUAGACGUUUUGAGAGCAGAAUUCUUUUUCUGUAUAAUAAUGGAAAGCUUUUCGAGCGUCCUGGUACAUAUGUCAGUGGGCCUGUUACUGCUGCCUGCUACCUUCCCAGAGACAUUCAGAGCUUCUGCCAGUUAGAAGCACAUCGUCCCGGUCUGAGUCUCUUCUUUUAUCCCCAAAGCCUCCUUUAAAAAAAAGCAGUCCCAUUCAGUGGUCUAAAUCGCAGACAACAGAUACAAGGUUUGCAUAUUGCCACUUCCCCAUUACCAUGUCAGUGGCGAACUACUCGUUGUUUUUAUUUUUUUUUAUUUUUUAUUUUUUUUUUACUCAUUGUUUUUAGACAUGACCUUCUCAGUGUAGCACUUCAGGCGGCUACCACCUAUCAAGGAUAAUUGGCAGGUGAUAGAAAACCUUUCUGCUAUCCUUGUCCUAAACCAGUAGUUCCUGAAUUAAGCUGUAAAUCAGAAUCACCUGACACUUUUUGUAAGGUUUUUAUUUUUUCUAUUAUUGACUUACAUUGUUCUGUCAAUUUCUGCUGUACAGCAAAGUGACCCAGUCUUACAUAUAUGUGUAUAUAAUAUAUGUACACACACGUACAUUCUUUUUCUCACAUUAUCCUCCAUCAUGUUCUAUCACAAGUGAUUAGAUAUAGUUCCCUGUGCUAUACGCCAGGAUCUCAUUGCUUAUCCACUCCAGGGGCAAUGGUUUGCAUCUACUAACCCCAGACUCCCAGCCCAUCCCACUCCCUCGUCCUCCCCCUUGGCAACCACAAAUCUGUUCUCCAAGUCCAUGAGUUUCUCUAGCAGUGGCGACUAUACCUGCCCAUCUCUUUGGUAUCUCAUUCCUCUGACAAUCAAUGUUUUGAUAUGUUCAAUUUACACUUCAGGGAUAUGAUAGGCUCUCUCGCUUUGAAUUACACCAGGCAAAGCACAUGAAUCAAAUGCCCAAGAUAAAGAUAUGAGAUCCAGAGAGGUGGCAUCGUGGUUUUCUAAAUAUAACAGCUUAAAUUUAAAACCUCAGAACCCUUCAGCCCUCUGUAGCUUACUCUUUCUCUGGUGAAUACCUUUAAAAAUUUGAAAUGGAAGAACUCAACAUUUUUGGAGUAAACAGUCUUGAAUUUUUCUUAUUUCAUGUAUAUUCAUUAGAGACGAUUUGAACAUAUACUGUGAUUUAACUUCAAACACCAUUGUCAGAUUUUCCAUGAAAGUAAAUCUGCAAAUCGGGAAAACGUUCUUUAUUAGACCACAUGAUUUGAUUUUUGGACUGGAAAUCGUGGUUAGGUUAUUGGGCAAAGUAGAGAUUGAAGUUUCAGAAUUAUCCAGUGAGUUAAUGACAGACCCAGAAAUAGAAUCCUGUGCUGUUUGCUUGGGUUCUGAUUUGGUUUGAAGAGGGUGGCCUGUGACCUCUUUACGUAUAUUGCAGGAAGUAAGUAAGGUUUGGGGUUUGGAAGAAGGUAAGAGCUCUGCGAUGCUUGGCCAGGAAGCUCCCUCUCCCUCAUUUACUACCUGUUUUACUGACACCAGUCCUAAACCAUGGAAGGUGAAGGAACAGCAACUGACUUAAACUCCGACUCUUAAAAACCGUAGAAAGCUGAAGCUGAUUGUUAGUUGGCGUGCUUUUUUUCAUCUUCUGUUAUUAGAGAAUAAGACUUGUCCCUAGUCGUGUUUGUAAAAGAGCGGGUUAUAGCCUAACUUGUUGAUUUAUAGAUGCGGGGGCAUGGUUUCGUGUCGAAUUUUUUCAGGGUGUAUACAGGGUUGUAUACAUAAGUGUAUCUUCAUUAAACACGGUUAGUUAAUAAACAAUAUGCUUUUGAAAUGAUGGAGCCCAUCAGAAAACAAACUUUCCUGAACUACUAAUGGUUCAAGGGGUUAUAGAUUUCAAAAUAAUUGUUAUAAUAGAGUUGCUUUCUGGUGACACCAUUAUUUUUAACCUCCCCUUCCUUUUCCAGUUUUUAGGGUGGGGCUGGCUCUUGCGGCACUGGUGAGCAAAGAAGCAGAAACUUAACAGAACAAGAGAAUAUUUGUGUGCGAUGGUUCUUAAGCUUGCUC